rnacentral:rRNA from 1 species
AUUGAACGCUGGCGGCAGGCCUAACACAUGCAAGUCGAGCGGUAGAGAGAAGCUUGCUUCUCUUGAGAGCGGCGGACGGGUGAGUAACGCCUAGGAAUCUGCCUAGUGGUGGGGGAUAACGUUCGGAAACGGACGCUAAUACCGCAUACGUCCUACGGGAGAAAGCGGGGGACCUUCGGGCCUCGCGCCAUUAGAUGAGCCUAGGUCGGAUUAGCUAGUUGGUGAGGUAAUGGCUCACCAAGGCUACGAUCCGUAACUGGUCUGAGAGGAUGAUCAGUCACACUGGAACUGAGACACGGUCCAGACUCCUACGGGAGGCAGCAGUGGGGAAUAUUGGACAAUGGGCGAAAGCCUGAUCCAGCCAUGCCGCGUGUGUGAAGAAGGUCUUCGGAUUGUAAAGCACUUUAAGUUGGGAGGAAGGGUAGUAACUUAAUACGUUGCUACUUUGACGUACCGA